rnacentral:rRNA from 1 species
GACGAACGCUGGCGGCGUGCUUAACACAUGCAAGUCGAACGGUAAGGCCCUUCGGGGUACACGAGUGGCGAACGGGUGAGUAACACGUGGGUGAUCUGCCCUGCACUUCGGGAUAAGCCUGGGAAACUGGGUCUAAUACCGGAUAGGACCCUGGGAUGCAUGUCUGGGGUGGAAAGCUUUUGCGGUGUGGGAUGGGCCCGCGGCCUAUCAGCUUGUUGGUGGGGUGAUGGCCUACCAAGGCGACGACGGGUAGCCGGCCUGAGAGGGUGACCGGCCACACUGGGACUGAGAUACGGCCCAGACUCCUACGGGAGGCAGCAGUGGGGAAUAUUGCACAAUGGGCGCAAGCCUGAUGCAGCGACGCCGCGUGAGGGAUGACGGCCUUCGGGUUGUAAACCUCUUUCAGCACCGACGAAGCGCAAGUGACGGUAGGUGCAGAAGAAGGACCGGCCAACUACGUGCCAGCCGCCGCGGUAA